GACGAACGCUGGCGGCGUGCCUAAUACAUGCAAGUAGAACGCUGAAGGAGGAGCUUGCUUCUCUGGAUGAGUUGCGAACGGGUGAGUAACGCGUAGGUAACCUGCCUGGUAGCGGGGGAUAACUAUUGGAAACGAUAGCUAAUACCGCAUAAGAGUAGAUGUUGCAUGACAUUUGCUUAAAAGAUGCAAUUGCAUCACUACCAGAUGGACCUUCGUUGUAUUAGCUAGUUGGUGGGGUAACGGCUUACCAAGGCGACGAUACAUAGCCGACCUGAGAGGGUGAUCGGCCACACUGGGACUGAGACACGGCCCAGACUCCUACGGGAGGCAGCAGGAGGGAAUCUUCGGCAAUAGACGGAAGUCUGACCGAGCAACGCCGCGUGAGUGCAGAAGGUUUUCGGAUCGUAAAGCUCUGUUGUAAGAGAAGAACGAGUGUGAGAGUGGAAAGUUCACACUGUGACGGUAUCUUACCAGAAAGGGACGGCUAACUACGUG
rnacentral:rRNA from 1 species